UAACUGUUAUAAAAGCCGGGGGUAUAACAGACCAAUACAUUUCACAACAGCUAUAAAAGGAUCAUGCAACUGAAUAUGCAUAUGAGUACUCAACAAAAAUGAAGCAUCUAUAUAUAACAAACAGCAGAGGGAAAAUGAAUCCAUGAGGAAGUCUGGAAGCAUCGUUUCCAGGCCUGGACUUCCCCGAGCAGCUUUGGGGAAUCACUGCCGGGAUAUUUAUAGCUCAUCCGAACUUUCCCUGAAGUCUCAGCUCCCGGUUAAACGGCUCGUUGGUGGCUCACCUGCACGCCUGCGCCCUCUGCCAGCCUGUUACCCAACUUGGUGCCCCGGGAGAGUUCCAGAACUGACUGCCUGCACCGCCUGACCCAGACUUGGCCACUUGGGAUUUGCCCCCUGACGAUGAGUAAAACAAUGAACCACGGUGACAUUUGCUUGAGGGCAAGUGACGGUGCCCACGUGUUGACGACUUGACCUUUAACCCCACCUGGCACGAGGCUGUUAGAUGCUCAUCACCUGCUCACCCCUGCACAGAGUGAAGCCCUCAGUAUCAGAAACCUGGACCAGCAGCGCCACCUGCUGGUGAUGUAAGGAGCGACCUUUCACCUACUCGUGAACGAGUCGGAACAUGUCUGAAAAGCUCGUGACUCAUGAUUCCACCGUCGCACAUGAGUCACCAUCCCGGUCCCUGCAUGCUGUUAUUCCCCCACAGCUGAGCGGACGUCUGAGGCCAGACAAGUGCUGUUUGCGAGCAAUGGGAAUACAAAAAAAAAAACUCCUAUUUAGCAGAAUUAAGAAUAUAUGAAUUUAACAAGCCUGUAAUACAGAGAAAAUGCCCAGAACACCUCAUCGUUAACCACACAGGUAGAUUUACUUAACAUGUAAUGGGAAGUUAUCUGUCAUAAAGGUUACAGAAUUUAAAGAAAGAAACGAAACUGCAUGAAUCCGUUCUUGUCUGGAAGUUUUGGGACUUUUGGGACUUUUACAAGUUAACUAUGCAGUCAUCAGAUUAUCUACGAGAAUAACCAUCUAAUAAUUAAUAAAUGGUUAAAUUAAAACUAGUUUCUUUGCAUUGAAUAGAGCUGUGGUUUUCUGGUUUGAUUGUAGGCACUAAUUGUCCUGUUGCAAAUGGCACUCUAUCCAUUAAUCCCAAAAAAUAUUUGUAAAGCGACCAAUCACAGUUUGCCUCAUAGGGCUCGACCAUCUGAGAGGUGCAACAUCCUGUCCUUGACCUUCGACUAGGCUGAGGAAAGACUCCCCCAAAGACUUUUAAUGGGGGAAAGAAAUACAGAAAAUUCAGGGAGAGACAAGCGGAGCAUCCCUCACCCAGGACGGUACCACAGCCGGACUACUGAAGACAUAUUUCUACAUUAAGACAGAAAUCAGAUUUAUUUUUGAACAAUUGUUGUGCAGUGGAGUUAAAAAAGUCUGUAACCUUUUGUAAUUUUUUAUUUCAGAGCAGAGUUGCAUGAGGAACAACCCACAGGCUGAGUGCUGAUCUAUAAAACCACAGAGUCAUUCUGAUAUAUAAAAGUUUAUUAUUAUUAUCAUAGAUGUCCAGACAUGUUUAUACAUAAAGAGUUCAAAUGUACAGAAGAGCGACAAUCAAUGAAGCUUAUUUACAUUCCAUUCUUUAACCGUCAAAUGUCAGUGCAUUUGUUCAACAUGAGCAACGUUUAAAAUCUCAACCUCGACUAAAAAAAAAGUAGUUCUGAUACUUUUUAGAUUGCAUUUACCACUGACAAUAACCGAAGAUAUAAAUACACAGAAAAUGACAAAAAUGCCUCACUGACAGAACAGGUCAUCACAUUUUUAGUAUAUGUUUUACUGCAACACAAUUUACUGAGCAAAUAUACAUCAAACACCCUUAAUCUGUUGGUUCGAAUGUAUUUCAGAUAGGUUUAUCAAAUGUAAGGGCUGUACUUUGAUGUAAAACAGGAGAUUGUAGGGGCGGACUGGGUUAAGGAGGUCAAACGGAUCAGUGUCUACAAUUUAAAGACAACAUUUCUUCUUGAAUUAAUGUACA